CUUCACAACAACAGAAACCAAAAACAAUGAGAGGUUUCAAUCACAUUUUUGGCUGUUGCAAACGAAUCAACUCCAUGAUGGUUUUUGUGUAAUUAAAAUUGAUUGGUUCAUUAAAUCAGCUUCGAUCAAGUUUGAUUUUUCGCAGACACGAAACAAUACCUAUCUAUGGGCUUGGCGUACAAAACGUGACUGUAUUCUUAGUGGCAUCGUUCGGUAGAAUUCACCGCACCAAGGGAAAUAACUGGAUACACUCUAGACAGGGAGAGUUGAGUCCCUUGAUGUGAGCUAUUGGUGAGACGAGACACGAUGAACAACUCAAGCUUCAUACUCAGCAACUCUACUGUCAUAGAGAGGGUUCACAACAUCCCCCUCUACGUCAUGCUGUCUAUUUUUAGCGUGGUCGGGGUAAUCGGGAAUGCCCUGGCUUUUUACAUCUUCUUCCGCCGGCGGUCCACGUCGACUUCUGUUAUCUUCAUCCUGGCUUUAGCAGGU